CUGCUGGGCCCCGGGUCUCUCACUGGCAGAAUGGAGUUCUCGGAGCUGAUCCAUACGGGCUGAGCCCAAGCAGAGUUUCUACGGGGCCCGGAGGCGCCCCCGCUUCGCGGCACGGUGUGAGUCACCGUCCACCACCUGCUCCUGUCGCCAGGGCCCGCGUCCUCUCCGGACCUGUGGCUGCUGCUGUUGCGUAGCGUCGACUCCUUCGAGAAGCAACCUGCGAGUGCUGCAGCUGGAAAUAGAGGGCGCGGAAGCGACGCUGGGCAUCGCCCGCUCCAUCGAGGGCCUGAGAUUGGGCGACUCCUGGCACUUCCUCCCGCCCGAACUCUACUGCAAGAGAGUAGCUCGCGAAGUGGGCGCGGUCGUAGGGGCCCGGGAAGGUGGAAGCGCCGGGCCUGGAAGAGGCGCGGGGACAGGGCACUCCCUGGGUGCCCUAGACCUGGCCUCUCUCCUCCCUGCGCUGCAGACCAACGCGUGGCGGCUGAGCGAGGUUCUGCUACGCUCCAGCCAGCCCCUAACUGGUCCCCAGAAGCGGCGCUGCUACAGGGACCAGGAGCUGCUGCGAACUGCGCUGGCGGGGGCUCGUCCUUGGGCGCGGGGCUUCAUCAUGGACACGCUCUCGGCCCAGGCCGCGAAACAAGCCCGCGUGACUGGCGGAGGCACAGAGACCAAGGCCGCUUAACCUGGCUGGUUGCACUGGUCCCUGGAGAGAGGGCGUCCCCUGCAGGAGAGCUUCAUGCGCCUGGUGGAGGCCUGUGGGGACUCGGAGCAAAGCAUGGACAACUGGCUGAGUCGGCUGGACGGCUGCCGCUGACUGUAACAUGUAAAGCAGGCACUGAGCACCACCUGCCUGGCAGUCCAGGGCAUGGAGAGGCACAGACAGCACCCUGCUUGUGACUUCACUGGCCCAACUCAUCCUGGACCCCUUGAGCAAGACCAUGGCUGGAUUCCAGGAACUGGUGGAGUGGAAGUGGAUCCAGGAAAAUGCCGUGUGAAGGGAGGACUCAGAUGCACUCCCUGUGGUCUGGGCUCAACCAGCCAAAAGAGCAACAAAGACUCCAGAACCCACUCUACCUCCUCAAUCCCUUGGCCAUCUGUGGAGCCCCAGAGCCUGCGGCUGUGGCAAGGCCUGUUUCUGCGCUGGACCUGCUCACCUGAGCCUGCAGAAGCUGCAUGGGGGAAGAGUGUGGCAAAUAGUGACAGGAAGGGAGAAGACAGAAGCCUCUCAGCCAACUGCUUCAGCCGAGCCCCUAUUCUAAGCACUGGCUCCUUGGAUAGCAGCUGAGAUGUUCCUGAAACCUCUGCAGGCCCCUUAGGACCUUUACACCUUGGAUGAGGGUGCCUGCAACCCAGGUUAGCCAAAAGUACUGAGGGUCUUAAGUUUGAAGUGUCCAAAGUAUAGGGAGGUCUCAAUAAUAAAAGUCUCCAUGAUCAGC
rnacentral:lncRNA from 1 species